AGAACGAACGCUGGCGGCAUGCCUAAUACAUGCAAGUCGAACGAAGGCUUCGGCCUUAGUGGCGCACGGGUGCGUAACGCGUGGGAAUCUGCCCCUUGGUUCGGAAUAACAGUUGGAAACGACUGCUAAUACCGGAUGAUGACGAAAGUCCAAAGAUUUAUCGCCAAGGGAUGAGCCCGCGUAGGAUUAGCUAGUUGGUGAGGUAAAGGCUCACCAAGGCGAACGAUCCUUAGCUGGUCUGAGAGGAUGAUCAGCCACACUGGGACUGAGACACGGCCCAGACUCCUACGGGAGCAGCAGUAGGGAAUAUUGGACAAUGGGCGAAAGCCUGAUCCAGCAAUGCCGCGUGAGUGAUGAAGGCCUUAGGGUUGAAGAUCUUUACCGUACGAUAGAUAAUAGACAGUGUACGGAGGAAUAAGACCCGCCGUAACUACCGUCGCCGACG
rnacentral:rRNA from 1 species